GAUGAACGCUGGCGGCGUGCCUAGUACAUGCCAGUCGAGCGAACGGACGAGAAGCUUGCUUCUCUGAUGUUAGCGGCGGACGGGUGAGUAACACGUGGAUAACCUACCUAUAAGACUGGGAUAACUUCGGGAAACCGGAGCUAAUACCGGAUAAUAUUUUGAACCGCAUGGUUCAAAAGUGAAAGACGGUCUUGCUGUCACUUAUAGGUGGAUCCGCGCUGCAUUAGCUAGUUGGUAAGGUAACGGCUUACCAAGGCAACGAUGCAUAGCCGACCUGAGAGGGUGAUCGGCCACACUGGAACUGAGACACGGUCCAGACUCCUACGGGAGGCAGCAGUAGGGAAUCUUCCGCAAUGGGCGAAAGCCUGACGGAGCAACGCCGCGUGAGUGAUGAAGGUCUUCGGAUCGUAAAACUCUGUUAUUAGGGAAGAACAUAUGUGUAAGUAACUGUGCACAUCUUGACGGUACCUAAUCAGAAAGCCACGGCUAACUACGUG
rnacentral:rRNA from 1 species